rnacentral:misc_RNA from 1 species
GAUGAAGAACUUAGCGAAACGCGAUAUGUAAUGUGAAUUGCAGAAUUCAGUGAAUCAUCGAAUCUUUGAACGCACAUGGCGCCUUCCAGUAUCCUGGGAGGCAUGCCUGUCCGAGCGUCGUUUCAACCCUCGAGCCCCCGUGGCCCGGCGUUGGGGAUCUGCCACGGCAGGCCCCUAAAACCAGUGGCGGACCCGAAGGCCCUCUCCUUUGCGCAGUAGCAUCAGCCUCGCAUUGGGAUCCCUCGGCGUCCUGCCUCUAAACCCCCCACAAGUCCGCUCCGGCGGCACCAAGGUUGACCUCGGAUCAGGUAGGAAUACCCGCUGAACUUAAGCAUAUCAAUAAGCGGACGA